GUGAGCUACUAGUGUAGUUAGAGGAGUACACCUGGGGUGAGCUACUAGUAUAGUUAGUAGUUAGAGGAGUACACCUGGGGUGAGCUACUAGUGUAGUUAGAGGAGCACACCUGGGGUGAGUUACUAGUGUAGUUAGAGGAGUACACCUGGGGUGAGUUACUAGUGUAGUUAGUAGUUAGAGGAGUACACCUGGGGUGAGUUACUAGUGUAGUUAGAGGAGCACACCUGGGGUGAGUUACUAGUGUAGUUAGAGGAGUACACCUGGGGUGAGCUACUAGUGUAGUUAGAGGAGCACACCUGGGGUGAGUUACUAGUGUAGUUAGAGGAGUACACCUGGGGUGAGCUACUAGUGUAGUUAGAGGAGUACACCUGGGGUGAGCUACUAGUAUAGUUAGUAGUUAGAGGAGUACACCUGGGGUGAGCUACUAGUGUAGUUAGAGGAGCACACCUGGGGUGAGUUACUAGUGUAGUUAGAGGAGUACACCUGGGGUGAGUUACUAGUGUAGUUAGUAGUUAGAGGAGUACACCUGGGGUGAGUUACUAGUGUAGUUAGAGGAGCACACCUGGGGUGAGUUACUAGUGUAGUUAGUAGUUAGAGGAGUACACCUGGGGUGAGUUACUAGUGUAGUUAGUAGUUCAAGGAGUACACCUGGGGUGAGUUACUAGUGUAGUUAGAGGAGCACACCUGGGGUGAGUUACUAGUGUAGUUAGAGGAGUACACCUGGGGUGAGUUACUAGUGUAGUUAGAGGAGCACACCUGGGGUGAGUUACUAGUGUAGUUAGAGGAGUACACCUGGGGUGAGUUACCAGUGUAGUUAGAGGAGCACACCUGGGGUGAGUUACUAGUGUAGUUAGAGGAGCACACCUGGGGUGAGUUACUAGUGUAGUUAGUAGUUAGAGGAGUACACCUGGGGUGAGUUACUAGUGUAGUUAGAGGAGCACACCUGGGGUGAGUUACUAGUGUAGUUAGAGGAGUACACCUGGGGUGAGUUACUAGUGUAGUUAGAGGAGCACACCUGGGGUGAGUUACUAGUGUAGUUAGAGGAGCACACCUGGGGUGAGUUACUAGUGUAGUUAGUAGUUAGAGGAGUACACCUGGGGUGAGUUACUAGUGUAGUUAGAGGAGCACACCUGGGGUGAGUUACUAGUGUAGUUAGUAGUUAGAGGAGUACACCUGGGGUGAGUUACUAGUGUAGUUAGAGGAGCACACCUGGGGUGAGUUACUAGUAUAGUUAGUAGUUAGAGGAGUACACCUGGGGUGAGCUACUAGUAUAGUUAGUAGUUAGAGGAGCACACCUGGGGUGAGUUACUAGUAUAGUUAGUAGUUAGAGGAGUACACCUGGGGUGAGUUACUAGUAUAGUUAGUAGUUAGAGGAGUACACCUGGGGUGAGUUACAGGAGUUGUUUCUGGACAGGGUCGUGGAGAGCGAGGUUCAUUAUGUGGUCAUUGAUUUAGAUACCAAUUGAUGAGCCAUUAGUUACAGUAAGAGACUGAUUUCACGUAGACAUGUAGUUUGUGGAAGUCUGUAAAACAAUAACAGUGCUGUCUGUGUUGUUGUUGUUUUCUCCAGAGGCAGAUAUGUAAGGAUCUGGAGAAGGACUUAAUGGCGGCCAUUCCAUCUGUGGUUGUCCAAUCCGUGCCAGCCUUUAAUGAGAGCUGAGAUGACAAUCUUGGGCUUUUGUUUUCAUUUUUUGGUAACACUUUGUGCAACGGUGCCAGUUUCAAGGGUUUUUGAAUUGACAAUCAUUACUAAAACACUUACACACAAAAUUGUUAAGAUUUUUGGGGGGGCAAGCUAUUUUUAAUUGACAAAUGGCACAGCUUCUGAUGAACAUUCUCAAUCAAAGUCACUUCUUUCAAAACAAUAAAAGCUUUUAUCAAGUAUUUUAUUUUUAGAUUUUAAAAAAAAAAGAAUUUCCUUGAAAUUGGUACCAUUAGAUUUGAAAACGUUUUCUCAUAAUAGAAAUAAAUAAACAAACUCCAUAACUUGCACUAUUUGAAUGUGGUUUUAGUUAUAAGCAACGGUGUAAUCUAAAGUCUGAUAUUUGAUCAGCAUUUUCAUUUUAUUUUUUUAAAGCCCAAAUUAUUUUCGAGGAAGCCCAUGUGAUAUGCAUUUGUGUGAGCUGUAAAUAUCAACGUUCAUUUUUGGUUUGAAGUCAUUUAUCAAUAUAACAUCUCAGCUUCUGUCUAUCCUUCAACAUUCCUGUAAAUGACCAAUUAUCAACAGUAAUAAAUGGGGGUUUUUACAGGCACAUUUUGCUAAGUAGAGAACUGUAUUUUCAUUACUUAAAAAAACGAUAUGUUCUGUCUUUCGGUGUAUUAUACAACACUUUUCUGUUCAGUUUGAUUUAAAAAUAAAUGGUAAACUAUUGACAUUGGACAACUAUUUGACAAAAUAUUUUUAAUUUAAAGAAAUACAGAAUCAUUGUGACCAAAAAUGUCACUUUUUUAUGAUAUUUCUUGAUUAAAUGUCUCUUCACUGUAAGAA